UUGACCAUUUAGUCUGACCAUGGGUCUGCAAAGGAACUAUAAGCUAUCCUCCCCCACUCCUACUCAAUGCGUCCGCGAAGUACAGAACGGCAGCUUGUCGCUUAAAUAUCCAAGCUUGGGUACAUGGGGAAACCCACCCCCUUGGGCGAAUGGCCGGCAAGGCUGAAUUGAGAGGA
rnacentral:ribozyme from 1 species